rnacentral:snRNA from 1 species
AUAUUUACUUGGCAAGAGAGAUAACAUGAUCAUGAAGGUGGUUUUCCUAGGGUGGGGCUCAGACAUUGCACUCCCAAUAUGCUGAUCCCUGCAUUAUCCCCAAACGUGGGAAACUUGACUGCAUACUUUUUGGUAGUAGGGCAUUGCAUUCACAAA